GGUGAACGCUGGCGGCGUGCUUAAGACAUGCAAGUCGAACGCAGUCUUCGGACUGAGUGGCGCACGGGUGAGUAACACGUAACUGACCUACCCCCAAGUCGCGAAUAACCAGCCGAAAGGAUGGCUAAUACGUGAUGUGAUGAUCCGCUGUGGCGGAUCAUUAAAGACUUGAUCGCUUGGGGAUGAGGUUGCGUACCAUCAGCUAGUUGGUAAGGUAAAGGCUUACCAAGGCAACGACGGAUAGCCGGCCUGAGAGGGUGGCCGGCCACACGGGGACUGAGACACGGGUCCCACUCCUACGGGAGGCAGCAGUUAGGAAUCUUCCACAAUGGGCGCAAGCCUGAUGGAGCGACGCCGCGUGAGGGAUGAAGGUUCUCGGAUCGUAAACCUCUGAACCAACGACGAAAGACCCGACAAGGGAGAUGACGGUAGUUGGGUAAUAGCACCGGCUAACUCCGUGCCAGCCGCCGCCGUAAAAC
rnacentral:rRNA from 1 species